GAAAUUUUCCAUACGUUUUGGUAUUCUUGGUAAACGUAAAAGAUCGCUGCUGCCAUUAUGGGAGAGUAUGUAUCCUUGGGCAAAAAUAUACGAUAAUUGUAACCCAGUAAACAGACAAAGAAUAAAAAUCCCACAAAAUAAAAGGUUUACAUACAAACACCCGCAAAGUUGCAUAUGUGGUAUAAAUCGCAAGCGGACACAAAGUGUUCAAAACGUUUAUAACAGAUUUUAGACAAGCCAACAUAAGAUUUCACUAUGAACAACAUAUACGGUAAGACGUUAUUAUAGUGUUUUAAUAAAAUACAUAAACAUUUAUUUGCUUGAUUAUCAGGCGUAUUAAUCUUUACAGCACGUACUCGUGCCUUACACAGGAACUCAUCAGUCGUAUCGAAUCUACGAAAUCAGGCGUAUUUAUUAAGAAGACUCAAACAGAUGUAUCGGAAACAUUCAAACAACGCUAGUAAUAAAAGGCGCUGAGUUUAGCAAUAUUUCGUCAGUUCUUCAAAAGAAACAACAUGAACAAGUCAGCACUUCUACUUUUGCUUCUCAUCGGACUUCUCGUCCUCACUGAAACUACAACUGCUUGGUGGGUUGGUGCUCCUCGUCGUCGUCGCCAUGUUACUCGUCGUCGUGCCCAUUAUGACCAUCAGGAAAUGCCACAAAUGAACGAAAAUUCAGACAUGAAUUUAAUCAAAUGAAUGGCUGAAGAUCAAUAAGUGCCCAUUUAUGUUUAAACUGCAAAAGUACAGUUUUAAUAAAUUGAACAUCACCAAA